rnacentral:tRNA from 1 species
AAAGAAAUAUCCUAAAAAGCUUCUAACUUUUAUUAAAGCAUUUAUAUGUUUAU